GGCGGUUCUCAGGUGAUGCACCCUGGAAUUGGGCUCCCUCCUCUCUGGUUCUGGGUGCAUCACCCGAGAACCACA
rfam:Myotis davidii contig171206, whole genome shotgun sequence.